CAACCAAACAGUAAAGUUUUGUCAUAUUCACUACCAAAUAAUUAAUUAGUUUGGUCAUUUUAACAAAUUAAAUGUUAAUUAAAGUAUGAUCAAUUCCAGGUCCUCAUCCUCCUCGGUUUGACAGCUUUGGCUGCUGCAGACAGCUUUGAAUCAUACGAAUACAGGCCCUCACACAGGUCAUCUGAGGAGUCCUACGAGUCCAGUGAGGCCAAGUACAACUUCAACUGGGCCGUGAGCGAUGACUCCUCAAGCAACGAGUUCGGACACCAGGAGGCCCGUGACGGCGACCACACUCAGGGAUCCUACUACGUGCAGCUUCCCGACGGCCGCCUGCAGACCGUCAAGUACUUCGUGGACGGCGACUCCGGCUACGUGGCUGAGGUCAACUACGAGGGCGAGGCUUCCUUCGAAUCUGGUUCAGCCGAAUCUCGAGAAUACAGAUACGUGUACGACUCCAACGAGUCCAAGUGAACCACUAGUCAUGUCUAAAAUGUAUAAUUUGUAUAAUAACUGGUUUCUGCAAUGUAUAUUACUUAUCUCGUACAGUUCUAUUUGUAUUUACUUAAAGAAAUGAUAAUCAUAA